UACGAAGGGGGCUAGCGUUGUUCGGAAUUACUGGGCGUAAAGCGUGUGUAGGCGGUCCGAUAAGUCGGGUGUGAAAGCCCUGGGCUCAACCCAGGAAGUGCACUCGAAACUGCCGGGCUAGAGUAUCGGAGAGGUUGGUGGAAUUCUCGGUGUAGAGGUGAAAUUCGUAGAUAUCGAGAGGAACACCGGUGGCGAAGGCGGCCAACUGGACGAAUUCUGACGCUGAGGAGCGAAAGCCAGGGGAGCAAACGGG
rnacentral:rRNA from 1 species